AGCAGUUUUGAUUUCUGACGGGUCAGUGUGGAGAACCACAGUGAAAUUAAAACGAAGUAAGAGCCGACCGUCUGGGCAGCAUUU
rnacentral:ncRNA from 2 species